GUGUCACGACCCGAUAUCAAACGUGGAAUAAAAGCACGUGAUCUGGAGGCUAUUUAAACAGGCUGGUACCAGUUUUGUCAGAAUGUUUCACGAUUACGCCACCAUCAUCAUUACACACGCAGUUUAACGAAGUGUUUGGAAAGUUUUCAGCCGUUUUUUGUUGCUACACAACACUAAUUUUAUAAAGAAGCUCAAACAACAUGCGUCCCAUCUUGAUACUGUGUUGUCUCGUGUGCUUGGUCGCAGUGGACUCUGCUCCUGCGGAUCCUUGUCAACAGCAAUGUCUCCUACUUCAGCAUUCCUGUCUCACCAUCUGUCAAUCAUCACAGUCGUCCGUAACGUGUUCCGACCAAUGCACUGCUAGAAGGAGUAUCUGUAACAUUAAUUGUGUGAACACCUGGUUUGAACAAUAACAGUCCCAGCACAUUCCUUUGUUAAAACGGCAGCAUGAAAACAGAUCCACGGCAUCAUUACCGGACUUUACCGGACAUUAUCGGACAUUACCGGACAUUUCAGGAUAAAACAACAUUUUACCAUUUGACAAUUGUAAAAUAAAUAUCGACGAUCGCAGACUCUAAGGAUAUUCUACUAGUCAUAGACCUACGUGAAUUUACGCUCAACUGUUUGCACUUUGCAGUGCAAUAAUGAAGUUCUGUAAUCACCGACAUCGUUCCCGGGGUCAUAUUGCGUGCUCUAAUCUACACCCUAUCAUAAACUCAUGUAUAUUUAUAUUGACCCGGUCAACAAUUACCAAUAUAUCCCUGAUAACUAGACAGUCAGUGGCUAAAUGAUGCGAAAUUAUACAAAAUGUGCAAAGGCACAUGCUGACUUUUGACAGAAAUCAAUGUAAAUUGUGUUUCUUACUAAGUUAGUACACGGGAACUGUUUUAUGAUAUAUAUUUCAGUUAUUUUCAAGAGACCUGUCAUACUACAAUAUGUCGUUAUCUUUAAGGUAUCAUUUCCUAUUUCGUUUUAAAUAUUUAUUAUUAGUUACUCUGGAGGCAGAAUCAUCAAUUAUUUCUUAUUUAUUUUCUCACUACCAUAAGUGUACAAGAUAUCGUCUGACUUGUGUAUAUUAACAUUUCUGAUCCAAUACAAUUUCAAUUAUAUUGAAUGCUGA